rnacentral:rRNA from 1 species
AACGAACGCUGGCGGCAGGCUUAACACAUGCAAGUCGAGCGCCCCGCAAGGGGAGCGGCAGACGGGUGAGUAACGCGUGGGAACGUACCCUUUGCUACGGAAUAGCUCCGGGAAACUGGAAUUAAUACCGUAUGUGCCCUACGGGGGAAAGAUUUAUCGGCAAAGGAUCGGCCCGCGUUGGAUUAGCUAGUUGGUGGGGUAAUGGCCUACCAAGGCGACGAUCCAUAGCUGGUCUGAGAGGAUGAUCAGCCACAUUGGGACUGAGACACGGCCCAAACUCCUACGGGAGGCAGCAGUGGAGAAUAUUGGACAAUGGGCGCAAGCCUGAUCCAGUCAUGCCGCGUGAGUGAUGAAGGCCUUAGGGUUGUAAAGCUCUUUCACCGGAGAAGAUAAUGACGGUAUCCGGAGAAGAAGCCCCGGCUAACUUCGUGCCAGCCGCCGCGGUAACAC